rnacentral:lncRNA from 1 species
AAAAAAAAAAAGAAAAACUAUUUAUGAGAAACUAAUACAAAAAUUUAUCAUUACCUGUAAACAAUAUUUUCAGGAAUAAUUUGCUGAAAUUGAUUGAUUUUUCAAAAAGGGACGACUGGAAAGGAAAUAUAUAAGGAGGAUUAGCCUUUGUCUUCUGUUUGGUAAUUGGGAUUUUGGUAAGAAAGAAAGAAAGAAAGAAAGAAAGAAAGGCAAAGGAGUUUUGGCAAAGAAAGGAAAGGCAGGGUUUCUCUUUUUAUGAAGGAAGGCAGCUCCGCGGAAAAAGAAACUCUUCUUUUUCCUUUUGAGGGGAGGAUUCCCGGCCCUGACUGCAGAUUCCCAACACCUUCUUUCUCUCCUUUUCAAUUAAAUUUUACUUUUUUUUUUCUUCUUCUUAUUAUUUUUUUUAAUAAUUCCGCCAAACAAUUAAACAAACAAAACGCUCUCUCUCUCUUCUUCUCCUAAUUACGCGUUGAAUAAACGGCUUUGGUUUUGCUUUUGUUUUAUGGUUUUUUUAUUUAUAUAAUUUUUUUUUUUUUUGGAGUGGCUUAACUCUUAAGGACGAGUAUCUUCUGGAAGCCGGUCAAGUUACGUUUGAGGCCUAAGUUUUUAUUUUUUAUUUUUUAUUUUUAUUUUUCAAGAAAUUGUUACGCCAAGUUGGACCGUUUCACAUCAGACGCGGAAGGCCACACGGUGGAGACUGGAGAUCGAUUCUCAAUCACCCCUGAUGGUU